AUGCGACUUGUCAAUGCAAACUGUAAUCUUGUAAAUUCUAUACAAAGGUUCCUCUUUAAAGAACUCAACAAAAUGUAUUUUAACUAUACUUCAUGGGUAUCUGAAAAUGCAUCUAUAAUAGCUCUCUUUUUAUUUAUGAUACAGUUACCUAUCCAAUGCUUACCUACAACCGGGUCAGGGCAGUGCUUGUCUCCUGACGCAACACUAUAUAACAACAGCAGUUCAUCAGCAAGAACAAUAGAAGUUGAACUGAAAUACAAAUCAAUAAACCAAACCCAGCAAUGGACAGAUCAACUGCAUAGCACCCAAAUGAAUCUCGAAAAGAAUCAGUGGGCAAACCGAAGGGAGAAGGAACUGAAGCCGCAUCUGCGUCGUGUGGCCGGCGGCCGCUGUCACUACCCCGUGGCAGACGAGGGGGCGGGCAGAAGAGGUGACCGCGGUAGCGAAUGGGGGUGCGAAAGUUCUGACUGUGGAAGCGGACGAAGGAGCCGGCGGCGGCGGGCCGCGGAGGCGAUUGCGGCGGCGGCGGACGAACGGAGCGAGCGAUUGGGAGAAGGGAAAGGAGCGCGCCUGAGCCGACUCAUCUGCGUGAUCACCUCGUCCAGGAGCCGAGACAGUGUCGAUUGA
rnacentral:rRNA from 1 species